rnacentral:rRNA from 1 species
AAGGGUUCCUGCGUAAAGCUAAUCUGCGCAGGGUUAGCCGGCUCCUAAGGCGAGGCCGAAAGGCGUAGUCGAUGGGAAUGGGGUGAAUAUUCCCCAGCCUGCGGGUAGUGACGAAUCCCGUGUAUUGUACGAUCUUAUUGGAUUGAUCGUGCCGUGAAGGGGUUCCAGGAAAUAGCUCCCGCGUAUAGACCGUACCCUAAACCGACACAGGUGGACUGGUAGAGUAUACCAAGGCGCUUGAGAGAAUGGUGCUGAAGGAACUCGGCAAAUUGCCUCCGUAACUUCGGGAGAAGGAGGCCCUCGACUUGGGCAACCAGGUCGGGGGGGCACAGACUAGGGGGUAGCGACUGUUUACCUAAAACACAGGGCUCUGCGAAGCCGUAAGGCGACGUAUAGGGUCUGACGCCUGCCCGGUGCCGGAAGGUUAAGAGGAGAGGUGCAAGCUUUGAAUCGAAGCCCCGGUAAACGGCGGCCGUAACAAUAACGGUCCUAAGGUAGCGAAAUUCCUUGUCAGGUAAGUUCUGACCCGCA